rnacentral:rRNA from 1 species
GACGAACGCUGGCGGCGUGCUUAACACAUGCAAGUCGAACGGAAAGGCCCUGCUUGCAGGGUACUCGAGUGGCGAACGGGUGAGUAACACGUGGGUGAUCUGCCCUGCACUUCGGGAUAAGCCUGGGAAACUGGGUCUACUACCGGAUAGGAGCCAUUUUUAGUGUGAUGGUUGGAAAGUUUUUUCGGUGUAGGAUGAGCUCGCGGCCUAUCAGCUUGUUGGUGGGGUAAUGGCCUACCAAGGCGGCGACGGGUAGCCGGCCUGAGAGGGUGGACGGCCACAUUGGGACUGAGAUACGGCCCAGACUCCUACGGGAGGCAGCAGUGGGGAAUAUUGCACAAUGGGCGCAAGCCUGAUGCAGCGACGCCGCGUGGGGGAUGACGGCCUUCGGGUUGUAAACUCCUUUCGCUAGGGACGAAGCUUUUUGUGACGGUACCUAGAUAAGAAGCACCGGCUAACUACGUG